GCACGAGUAAAGGGGGGAAUCAAAUCUGCAUGUUUAUGCUGUGGAACAUCAAAUAACAGCAUUUUACUGUUUGGAGUACAUACAGCAGGGGAUUUACAUUCCAUUUACCUGACCUCACGGAGGGAACUCGGACUGAUAUGCAAAGUACAUGAAAUAUUUACUACACUGGAUCAUGCCAGGCUUCUAAAGGAAAACAGAUGAAGAUAGGGCACCAACAACAGACCAAAGAAUCAAUCCUACCGGAGUCCAGCUGAGGGAUGUGUGUAUGACUCCAAGGUGCCUGCCUCUCCAAAUAAUCAUCACGGUGGGUGAGGCUGUGCACCC
ensembl:antisense Gm16117 predicted gene 16117